rnacentral:rRNA from 1 species
UACGUAGGAUGCAAGCGUUGUCCGGAUUUACUGGGCGUAAAGCGCGCGCAGGCGGCACAGUAAGUAAGGUGUGAAAUAUCCCUGCUCAACGGGGAGGGUGCACUUUAGACUGCUGAGCUUGAGGUCGGUAGAGGGGGGUGGAAUUCCUGGUGUAGCGGUGAAAUGCGCAGAUAUCAGGAAGAACACCCGUGGCGAAGGCGGUUCUCUGGGACGGUACUGACGCUGAGACGCGAAAGCGUGGGGAGCGAACAGG